GUCCUGUAGCAAAUUGCUUCUGGGGAAGUGCUCGCCACCCUAUGUCCCGCCGGUAAAACCCUCCUGGCCAGUUGAUUUCCUCAACAGCCAGAUAGGCUUUAUCCCUUGCCUCUUGAAGAUCACUUCCGCUGGCAGUAACCCCAAGCACGCGGCCCCCAGUAGCAAUGAAGUUGCCAUCUGCAUCCAAAGCAGUUCCAGCAUGAAAUAUCUGAACUGUUGGAGCAACAUUUUGAGCUUCUUCAAGGUUUCCAAUCACAGUCCCUUUCUCAUAGGAUCCAGGGUAGCCUUUACUUGCCAUUACCACCACCAUGGCACACCCUGGGGACCAGUUCAGUGAUACUCCUCUUAAC
rnacentral:misc_RNA from 1 species